GAAGCAAAAAGAAAAUCUGUUGCUCUUAACAAGGAGCCAUUCCUGGUUUGUUUUUAUGCCGGGUUGCAUGGGAAGUGACAUUUUUUUCAACCAAUCAGUCGAUUGCAGUG